UGCAAUGUUGUAUGGGUUCAUGCAUCGUUUUAAAAUAGUGUGUUUUGCCUUGCUUACCUAUACAAGGGGUGUACUUAUUAUUUGUUUAUUUAUUUAUUUAUUUACUUAUUCUCUAUUAAUGUAUGAUUUAUUAUAUAUGGCCUGCAUAACUCAAUCCUCUUUAUCUCCAGAUCUAGCUUGUCUGUCACUAUGAUUGUCCCCCAAGCCUUCUAAUGGCCACAUUCCUUGUGGCUUCAGCCUUGGUAUGUGACACUGCCAUGUGUACUCCUAAUCUAUAUUAGGGUCAGGAUUAGAUAGUCUUUGAAAACAGUCGUGGCCGAGGCGAUCUGAAAUAGUACAUGACCCAAACACUAUAUUUGAAUUACAUUAAGUUUAUAUUUAAAUAUACCUUCCAGUUUUCCCAGCCUUCACUAAGAAGGCAAACCCUGAGUUCAGCUUCCCACUUUACCAAGUCCCUUAGCGGCUGUGUGGAAGCCAUUUUGCCUUCAAGUGCCCAAGCUUUGAAAUAUCCAGCACACCAUCCAUUGUAAGUAGAAGAGGGCCUCAGCUUGACAUUGUAAUUCAAUUUAUUUUUUUCUGAGCCACGUUCCCUGUCUCUAGGCCAGUGUUUUUUUUUCCCCCCCAUAGGUUUGUGCAGAGACAACAGGGUACAAGAGUUGAGAAUCUCCUGGGUAUUUUAAAAGAAUCGUCUAAGGAAAUUCUGAUUUUAUAAUUUCAUAUUAGCCAUAAAGAUUUAUUUUUAACAGGAUUCUCUCAUGGAGGGAAAAUCUCUGCAUGGAGUAUGAGCUAGUAACCUAUAAGGACUUUUCCUUUCUAAGCUCCAGUUCUAUUGCGAAGCUCAUUCUUGUUACUGACUGAGUUUCACUCUAGAACUUAUCCCAUUAGAGCCGACAGUUUAGAGACUACCCAUUAGUUCUUUUUUAUAUAUAUAAAAUUACAAUUUGUAAGAUUAAAAAUGGGGAAGGAGAAUCCUGUGCCGUCUCCCUCUGCGCACUUGGAGUGUUUAGUCCCUCCUGUGUUGUGUAACCCGGGGAACGCCUUCCUCCUGUUUAAGUAAAUUUAAGCCCACCUGGAACUUCUGGCUACCUUUGACCAGGUGCUGCCUUUCUUCCUCCUUUCCGCAGGCGCAUCUUCCUUGACCAGCAGACAUUGCCUCCUAGUGGUUCUUGUGCUUCCUUCUUCCACACCCUUAAGGAAAUCAGCCAGUGGGGGGCUCACUCUUGCCUUCUCCCUAGUCAGAAGG
rnacentral:lncRNA from 1 species